rnacentral:lncRNA from 1 species
UGGGCUGAGAAAUUAAAUAGAGAACUGUUCUAUUGUUUUCCUAUGGAAUUCCCGUAUGUGUAGGUGGACUCUAAGCUGAUAUGACCAGUGUCCUUCUAAGAAGAGGAGAGAGACAUACGUGGAGAGGAUGGCCAUGUGACAAAGGAGGCAGAGAUUGGAUUGAUGUAUCUACAAGCCAAGGAACACCAGGGAUGCUGACAAACACCAGAAGCUAGAAGAUGCAAGGAAAGAGUCUUCCCUACAGCUUUCAGAGGGAGCGCGGCCCUGGUAACACCUUGACUUCAGACUUCUAGCCUUCAGAACUGUGAGACAUGCAGAGACAGCCAGCUGCCAGAACCCAGCUGGUUAGAAUCCUUCCCAGAGGUCGGUGCUCCGUGGAGAACAGAGGCCCUGCCCAGAGAUCAUCAUGGAUCUGUUCACAAUCUGCUGCUGCAGAAAUAGCAGCCAUAUCAAUGUACUCAUGUCCCUGGGGCUGGACAGACUGAUGGGCCCAUCUGCAGGGCAGGAACAGCCGGAAGAGAAAAUUGAGCAAGAAACUAAUGAAGAGCUGGAGGAGAACCAGGAAACAGAGGAUUUGGAAAUAACGUGAAUUUCAAAAGAACAAGUCCAGUUACUCAAUAGGGACGGAAAACCUAUUGGAAACUUUGCGAAGAACGGUCCAACUUCCCAAGCAAAGAGUGUGUCCAUACCUUAAAGAAAUCACAACUGGGCUGCUACAUCUGUUCACAUUGGGACUUCCAUCCUGCCCCCCUCACAGGGGUCUAAGGAAUACGUGGGAAGCCUGUGGAAAGUUCCUCAUGCCUCUUCCGUUUGCCCCUUCCUGGCAUGUGAACAGAAGAGCAAGAUCCAACGUUAACAGAGCAGGGGUCAACCAUAGUCUUCAGGGAGCCCCGUGGGUAGACUUGCUGAAACUUUGAGCACCAGUGCCUUCCUCUUUCCCCUCCAAGGCCCCCAAGGUAUUUCCCAAUCUGCUCUUCACCACCAUAAAAUGAGUCACAUAAUUAACUCAAUUCCAAAGUACUAUUAUCCAAAUCAAUAUAUUGUGACUUUGAGUUAUCAGGAAAUUCAAUAAUUUGCUCCACUUAUUUUUCCAAGGAAAUACUUGACUUUUUUCUUAAAAAAAUCUUUGUCAAUCUUAGGACAUAAGAAAGAUCAUAAUUUUUAAACGUUCUGAAGUGAAGAAUGUAUGUAACCAGUAAAGAAUAGGAAUGAAAUGUAUACCUAAAAACUAGAAGAGGGGGAAAAAUGGCAUAGAAAAGUUGAUUAAUUUAGUAAAAGGCAGGAAAGGAGAAAAUCAAUGACACAAAAUAAGAUGAAAAUAAUUAAAUAUCUCAGUAAUUAUAAUCAUGAAUCAGUUACACUCACCAGUUAAAAGACAAGGGUUGUAAAAAUUAGGUUUUAAUAAAUUCAGCCCUAUACCACUUACAAAAUACACACUUAAAAUGUAAUAACAAAGA